rnacentral:rRNA from 1 species
GUCUACGGCCAUACCACCCUGAACACGCCCGAUCUCGUCUGAUCUCGGAAGCUAAGCAGGGUCGGGCCUGGUUAGUAUGUUGAUGGGGAGAAACAAGCUGUGGGUGUAGGCU